UUCUUAGGAAACUUAUCAGAAAAUUAACCAGGAGUGAGGGAAAAGUAAUUUACACUGGUAAAAUUAAGCCAAACAGUGCUCAUAGGAUAUCUGCACACUCAUAGGGUAAUGCAUAAUAACCUAUUUGGUAAUGUCAGAGUCACCAAUGAAAUUCACUUACACUUCUUUUGGUGUAAUUUCGGAUGGCAUUUUGGGGUUAUAAGGAAGGUGAGACCAGACAUGCUGGCCCUCACUCUGUCACCCUCUGCUGCUGCUGCUCCUGAGUAUAGGGUUUGUUUAACACACUCUGGAGCCUGUGCUUUCACGUGGGAGGGUUGGCUGGGCACAGUUUCCCCCCAUCCAAGAUCUUACCCUGUCUAAACCUCUCCACCAGAAAAAUUGGGGAGUUAGGCAGAGGAAGAGAAGAAAGAACGGUAUGUUUGUGACAUCUCAAUUAACAGAGAAAACAGCUGUGCGUUGAUCUGAAACAAUGUGCCAUAUGUUACAACCUCCCUUUAUUUCUGUCAAAUUGCACCAUUAAGGAGUAUAUUCUGCUUAAUUGCCCUCUCUGUUUUUAUCAAAGGAUGUGGGUGUCCUGGAAAGGUGGGAAGAGGAGUCCUCCUUUUCUGGCCAUGUCCUUCUCUCAAGUGGGGGGAUGCCAGGCUCAAGGGGAGAAAAGAGCUAUCAUCCCUGGAGGAUGCUUCAAUUCUGGAAGUGCCCACACCUUGUCGGCUCGGAUGCACACCCUUUAGGAGGCGGAGGCGAAGGUGCCCGUGUGAGCCCACCAGACAACAUGGCCGCACGCCCAGCUCCACUGCUCUACUCUACCUUUGCCUAAAUCCUGCUCCAGGGCUCCUUUGAGGGCCAAAGAAGUGCAAGCCCACCGCGAAGAUACGGGAUCCCACAUGCUUGGCCCUGGCCUUUCCUGGACCGGGCCAUAGUGGGAGCUAGCGCUGUGGAAACAUCCAGGCGCCCAGUCAUUGCCUGGCCUCUGCCAAGUGUGCCCGGCCCCCAACCUCCUCGCCGCUCACCAUCCCUGACUCUCACUGCUCUGUCACCCCUUUGUUCACUUCCUAUAUUUUCACUCAGAUGUGGUUUAGUGUUUUCUUUCCAAGCCAUAUUUUGCACGGAAGAAUGCUUUCAGUGAGCUGAAGCCCUAAUUGCCAAAUAAUGGUUGCCAAAACAUGUUAUUUGGCUUCAAGCUGGUACAGAGCAAGAGGCGUUUUCUCCUUAUGGAAAAAAAAAAAAAAAACCCACCAAAAAACACCCUUCUUCAGCAGCAGCCCAAGGGCCAUUCGCAAACGCACAAACUCCUUGGCCCUUCCUCUAGCGGAAGACGGUGGCUGGGCUCGGGUCGCCGUCUCGCGGCGGGGGGCCUGGCCCGGGGCGGGUGGAAGCCGGGGAGGGGCGGGGCUCCGGGCGGAGGGCUCCAGGCUGAGUGGCGGCCGCCGGCCGGGACUUGCCUCCCACCGCCCCGCCGCACUGGGACGCGCCUGCCAGAUAACUGCUAACACAAGCCGCCCAGCGAGCACGGGAAUUCCAAAUAGAGACAAAUCUGGGGCCCCCGGGGGGAAGCUGGAUGGAACCGAUCAGUACGAGAUAUAUCACUGCUAAUUAAGUCCUGAUCCCCUGGCUCCACUUGAAACAAACCAGGGAGGGAUCAAGUUUUAAGAGCAGGUGCUAACUGGUUGCAAAAGACAAGUCCGUCACUUCAGGAGAAGGUUUUGCAGGUAGCUCCUCGAGGACACAGCGCGGGAGCCCAGGGCUUUGUCGAGAAAAUCGGUUACUGGACAGAGCCACGGGCUCCUAUUUGUCUUAGGACACCACACCGGUGAGCGCGGAAGAACCCUCUCGGCUGUAACAGAGAACUAUUUUCCUAUCCUCUGUUUCCCCCUUGAAAGCUGAUUGACUCUCUCCUCAGAUGGACAAUGGCCUAAUUUGCAGGCAAGUAAACACUCUCCUGGAGAUGCCAGUGGCCGUUUCUUUUCCGCACGGACAAUAUGGUAUUUGUUGGGGCUCAAAUGCCAGUCCAGAGCGGGCCUCACAUAACCUCCCACCCUGCUCGCUCCUUUCCCAGAUUGUUUAAGUAAAACACAUUCUGAGCACAAAUGUGUAAAUAAACUUAAUUGCAAAUAUUUACGUCAAGAAGGUCUGAGAGUCCUAUGAGGAUUGUGUGUGUAUGAAGAGCGAAUAGGUGCUGAGUGUUAAGGAUCUUGGAUGGACACCUUAUCUAACUUCUUCUUCAGAGACCUGCCCAUACUCCAGAAGUCUUGGUUUUAAAUGCUGGCUAACAGGGACUGGGCACUUCUGUGUGCCAGGGGCUCUGCCAAGUGUCUUCUGUGCAUCAGCAUUAUCUUUUCAUCUUUACAACCAUCCCCUGAAGUAGGACCUGCCAGAUGGAGAAGACAGGAAAUGACUACCUUUCACGGUGGCUCUUUCAUGUGGUUCCUUAAACAGCCAUCUGUGCUACCCAUUGCAAGGAACCGAAGAUUUCAAGUCACCUCUGGAAUCUUCUGUGUGACAGUUCUCCCGUAACGGCUCCUAAGUCAAAGAUCAACGGCCACCAGACAUUUUAACAUAAAACCAACUUUUAAUAAGUGAUUUCUGCAAAGGUCUCAUCCCUCCAAAGAAGAAAACAGUCUUUCAGAAGAAAGUGGCUGGCCGGAAGGGCGCUGCAUUUGCCCAGACCUCCCAGACAUCUCGCCAAAAAAACAAAACAAAACAAAAAAAAAAAACAACGACAACAAAAAACGCUUCCUUCUGGGUUGGUUUCUCUGUCGCUGCAAAUACCACACACGGAGAGCUGGCGCUCGGCUUCUGGAGAGCAACCCUGUGUAACAAAACUACUUACGGGAUC